GCUGUGCAGGCUGCAGCAAGUGGAGGUCACCACUGGGACCUGGAAAGAGGGAUGAUGCCUCAGGGAGAAGCUGAGCCAUUAUGGAGUUUAGUAAGAAAUCCACCUGUGUUACUACCUCUUGAAUAAUUGCUGGAGUGCAAAUUGGUCCCAUGCAGUGAUUGUGAGAAUACCUGCAUUUG